UACGGAGGUGGCAAGCGUUGCUCGGAAUCACUGGGCGUAAAGGGCGCGUAGGCGGGGAGGUAAGUCGGGUGUGAAAUCCCUCGGCCCAACCGAGGAACUGCGUCCGAGACUGCUUCUCUUGAGUCCCGGAGAGGAAGGUGGAAUUCCCGGUGUAGCGGUGAAAUGUGUAGAGAUCGGGAGGAACACCGGUGGCGAAGGCGGCCUUCUGGACGGUGACUGACGCUGAGGCGCGAAAGCGUGGGGAGCAAACGGG
rnacentral:rRNA from 1 species